rnacentral:misc_RNA from 1 species
AAGAGAAUACUGAGGUGUCGACGGUGACUACCGCGGAGAUUAAAUCGGACGUCGGAUUGGGCGUUUCGGAGGUGGAAUCCGGCGAUUCUUCUUCAAGCAUACUUGUGUUGAUUGCAGGAUUGCUCAUCAAGGCAAUUGGGGUUCAACUUAGCUUCUUCGUUUACAGUAUCUGCUUUCCACUGUGGUUCUUAUAUCUUUCUUACACGUUUGUUUUUCAUCCCUUUCAAACAAUUAAGCUCGGGAGAGCGUAUGUGAGAGGAAAGAUGUUU